ensembl:lncRNA
CAGGACCUCACCACACGGGUCAAGAAGGUUUCUGUCUCAUUUCUACUCUGAAGCUCACCUUCUCCUGCUCAAACUGCUGACAAAUGUUUCUGCUGCUCUAAAGUCUGGUCUCCAGAACUUCCUAAAAACUCUCAAAGUCUCUUCUGCUGCAGGUUGCUUUGUAGAACUGUUCCAGAAAACCUCACUAAACCACAUGGAGGGGCCUCAAGAUAGUCGUCCAAAUGAAACCAUACAAAAACCAAACUAGCACAACCCAAACGCUAAAGUCUCCUGCAGCCUACCAGAGAACCUCUGAGAACAGAGAAUCAGGACAGGAACUCUUACCUUCUGGACAACCAACGUUGGUUCACAAACAAGAAUACAGAAUGUGUCUGACCAAAAACCUCUAAAGACUCACUACAGCCAAGAUAAAGACACAACUCAGCUGUACCAAAUCCACUAAUCACUGCACACAUGUGCUAACUGUGGCUAAAGAACCACAUUUACCAAGACAACUAUCCAGUACAAAGCCCUAAAACACACCAAGAAACACAUUAAAGACAAUUUUACUGCUGGAAGCUGCAAGCCAACGCCUAAAGAACAAACUAAAGCAAUGGAGCCAAACCCAGUUCAUGGUGAAGAGAAGCAGAGGAAAUGUUUGUCUGCAGCUAAAUAAAGCAGGAAGACACUGAGCUGCUCAGGUGUUCCUGAUAACACCAAGCAGCCACCUGGACAGCCAAUAGGAACACAGCUUCC